ensembl:misc_RNA 7SK 7SK RNA
GGAUGUGAGGGUGAUCUGGCUGCGACAUCUGUCACCCCACUGAUCGCCAGGGUUGAUUCAGCUGAUCUGGCUGGCUAGGCAGGUGUCCCCUUCCUCCCUCACCACUCCAUGUGCGUCCCUCCCAAAGCUGCAUGCUCGCUCAGUUGAAGAGGACGGCCUUCCCCGAAUAGAGACGGACCAUUCUUCAGUUGAGGGUACAAGAGUAGCUGUAUUCCCUUGCUAGGACCUCCAAAAGACUGUCUUGUUGAUUGCUAAACAAUAAACCAUCCAGAGAUCUAUAAUUCAAUAGAAUUGUUCAUUCUUUUUAAUU